CAAAAGUUGUGGAUAUGAAAAA
rnacentral:snRNA from 1 species